rnacentral:rRNA from 1 species
AUUGAACGCUGGCGGCAUGCCUUACACAUGCAAGUCGAACGGUAACAGGUCUUCGGAUGCUGACGAGUGGCGAACGGGUGAGUAAUAUAUUGGAACGUGCCCAGUCGUGGGGGAUAACGAAGCGAAAGCUUUGCUAAUACCGCAUACGAUCUACGGAUGAAAGCGGGGGUCGCAAGAACUCGCGCGAUUGGGGCGGCCGAUGGCAGAUUAGGUAGUUGGUGGGGUAAAGGCUUACCAAGCCUAUGAUCUGUAGCUGGUCUGAGAGGACGACCAGCCACACUGGGACUGAGACACGGCCCAGACUCCUACGGGAGGCAGCAGUGGGGAAUUUUGGACAAUGGGCGCAAGCCUGAUCCAGCAAUGCCGCGUGCAGGAUGAAGGCCUUCGGGUUGUAAACUGCUUUUGUACGGAACGAAAAGCUCUGGGUUAAUACCCUGGGGUCAUGACGGUACCGUAAGAAUAAGCACCGGCUAACUACGUGCCAGCCGCCGCGGUAA